AACGGCUGAUAAGACCGUAUGUGCACUGAGGUGGAAAGAUUUAUCGCCUUUGGAUUAUUUCAUGUCGGAUUAGCUAGUUGGUGGGGUAAUUGCCUACCAAGGCUAUGAUCCGUAGCCGGCCUGAGAGGGUGGACGGCCACACCGGGACUGAGACACGGCCCGGACUCCUACGGGAGGCAGCAGUGGGGAAUAUUGGACAAUGGGGGCAACCCUGAUCCAGCCAUGCCGCGUGCGUGAAGAAGGCCUUA
rnacentral:rRNA from 1 species